GACCGAGAGACAGCUAACGCUCAGAGUUCUCUCAGCCCAGAGGAAAGGGCUUGACUUCCCUUUUUACCUUGAUUUAGGUAAGAGAGGGGGAGCCUAGCUGAAGCAGAAUUUUACAGAAGCCGAACAGGCAAGUUAGCUAGGGAAGCUGGCAACCCAGAGAAA